rnacentral:lncRNA from 1 species
AACAAAGGAGGAGAUCUAUCUCCUCUCGGGUGAGAGACCUAGAACUAUUCUAGGGUUUCUGGGUGAGGGAAAACCAAAGAGAAGAGUAUCUUCAUCUAUUUUUCUUCUACCAUCCAGCAUCCUUCUCUGAUCUAUCUUCAACAUCAAAAAGGUCCAAGAUGAUUGAAGAAGGAGAUCAAAUCAGAUCUGCCAUCAGAAGCC